AGCGAACGCUGGCGGUAGGCCUAAUACAUGCAAGUCGAACGGCAGCACACUAAUAGUUUGCUCUUACGGGUGGCGCGUCGCAGAGGUGUGUGACACAUAUCGGACCCUCCUCUUUCGCGGGGGCUAAUGUAGGGAACGUUACGCAAAUCCCGCUUACGACCUUCGUGUGAAAGCAGGGGUUCUUCGGUUCUUUCGCGUUUGACUGUGCGGUUGGCGGAUUAGCUAGUUGGCGGGGUAAAGGCCUACCAAGGCGACGAUCCAUAGCUGAUCUGAGAGGAUGAUCAGCCACACUGGAACUGAGACACGGUCCAGACUCCUACGGGAGGCAGCAGUAGGGAAUAUUGGACAAUGGGCGCAAGCCUGAUCCAGCCAUGCCGCGUGGGUGAAGAAGGCUUUCGGGUUGUAAAGCCCUGUUGUUGGGAAAGAAAAGCAGCGGGGUAAUACCCCGCUGAACAGACGGUACCCAAAGAAUAAGCACCGGCUAACUUCGUG
rnacentral:rRNA from 1 species